CAUGGUGUGACUGUAGUGUCAUGACCAGUAGGUCGAAAAGAGGGAGAAAAGUGAAAUCGAAAAUGCUUUACAGAUUCGCUGAACCUCCGAUGGCCCUGAUGUCCUUGUGGCUCUUGCGCGAAACUGUGAGUGUGCCGGCGGCCACACGGCCAUACGUCCGGAGCCCCGGACGGCCUGGCGCACCCAUACCACCUCGCGCCGGCGCCACCGCAGCCGACGGGCGAGGCGAGUGCAGCUCGUGCGCAGCACCGCACGGAGAUCGGACUUCGGAGGGGACGGCCGUCGCGAUCGGCGGAAUUCGGUCUGCCGUCGCUGUUGCAUGGUAGGGUUCGCCGGCACGGCGGCAGGGGGUCGGAUGUGAGGCUGAGGCUGUGGCGCCUGUAUGGGCUGUUGUGGUCGUGGGCAUAAACUAAGGCCCACUGAGGCUCUAGAAAAGGCUAAGGCCCAGUGGCUGCAGCCGAAGCCCUCGCGACCAAAGCCUCCACCGCCGGCUCGCCACCGGGCCGCCCUUCCCCUGCCGGCGACCGCCGUGGAGACCGAGCACCGCCAAAAGCCGGAGGCCAGCUCUCCGCCGACAGGUUCCCUCCUUUGCCUCCUUCCCCGUUGGACAUCCCACUUUGCUUGGUAAACCCUAAUCCACCUCUGAUUUCCCCUUUUGUUUUCUAAACCCAACUGAUUCCAUUUAUUCUUCAAAAGGAACCAUGUGAAGACUAAAUAUUACUAGUCAUGAACUUGAUAUCCUUGAACCUCAGACGCUCGGUUAUUUGUGGCUUUGGGGGGAGCUGGGCUGCGGCACAUUUGGAAGAUUUUUUUUCUUGGAGAACAUGAAUUAGGAGGCACUUGUUUGGAUUAUUUUUAGAACCAGUCGGUAGGAUACAAUGAUUGCUGUGCGCUGCUAGCAAUUUUUUUUUUACUUUAGCACUGUGCAAGAUUGAAGUUCUUGCUCUCCCUCUUGGACAGGAAAAAUGGUUGAGCAUCUCUUUGAGGAUAUCUUCACUUUGACCAGGAUCGAUCCUGAUGGGAAGAAGUUCGACAUAUGUGAUUCUCUCUGGCUGUUCCACCUGAUGAAUUCUGAGUUAUGCUAGGCCGUGCUUUACUCUGCCAAACCGUGCUGCUCAUGUAUGUUGAUUCUUGGAGUGCUGUUAGCAAUGACUUGUUAAUCGCAGCGAGGCUAGAUGCGAGCAGUUCGAUAUGUUGAUGGAAUUAGAUGUCGCUACUGAUGUCUACCCGAUUCAUACUGGUGAAAAUUUCACCAUGGUUUUGACUCCUACACUGAAUCUGGAUGGAACUCCAGACACUGGCUACUAUACAGAGGCUGGUAGGAAAACCCUUGCUGGCAAGUAUGACUAUGUCAUGCAUGGAAAGCUUUACAAGAUUUCAGAGGACAGUUCCAGUGGUCAUGCUACUAAAGUGUAUGAUCUCUGAACUUUAGAUUAGUGUUUUUUUUAAUGUAGCAGGAUUUGAUUACGAUAUAUUGCAUGUAAUAUAUGAUCUCGUGUGAGGUUGAUUCCUGAUCUUCGUAUAGCUUAUGAAGAUUUUGUUCUGUAACAUGUUGCUGAAGUACAUAAGUCUGAGAGUAAA